rnacentral:rRNA from 1 species
UACGUAGGGACCAAGCGUUGUUCGGAUUUACUGGGCGUAAAGGGCGCGUAGGCGGCUCUGUAAGUCACUUGUGAAAUCUCUGAGCUUAACUCAGAACGGCCAAGUGAUACUGCAGUGCUAGAGUGUAGAAGGGGCAAUCGGAAUUCUUGGUGUAGCGGUGAAAUGCGUAGAGAUCGGGAGGAACAUCUGUGGCGAAGGCGGCCAUCUGGACCAGCACUGACACUGAGGCGCGAAAGCGUGGGGAGCAAACAGG